GGGGGUAUAGCUCAGGGGUAGAGCAUUUGACUGCAGAUCAAGAGGUCCUGGUUCAAAUCUGGGUGCCCCCU
rnacentral:tRNA from 1 species